CAUUGUCGUGACCCUGACCAAAAUAGACCGUGAACGCGUAAUCCAGCCCGCCGUCGGCGACUCACCUCGUCGUUCGGCCAAGUCCUCGACAACCUCCUCUCCUCGGAGCGGUGGCUCGGGGUGAAAGAACCCACGGCGCCUAAGGCGUCAAGGAACACUGUGCCUAACUCGGGGACGCGUCUGGCUUGCUGGCCGCCCCCCGUGUUGCAAAGCUAUAUUAUCCACACGACUCUCGGCAACGGAUAUCUCGGCUCUCGCAUCGAUGAAGAACGUAGCGAAAUGCGAUACCUGGUGUGAAUUGCAGAAUCCCGCGAACCAUCGAGUCUUUGAACGCAAGUUGCGCCCGAGGCCAUUCGGCCGAGGGCACGCCUGCCUGGGCGUCACGCCAAACACGCUCCCAAACCCCUCAUCAGGGAUCGGGAUGCGGCAUGUGGCCCCCCGUCUCGCAAGUGGCGGUGGGCCGAA
rnacentral:misc_RNA from 1 species